rnacentral:tRNA from 1 species
UGUGGCGGGGGCGCCGGGAGAGCGACACGUUCUGAGCGCGCCGGGCGCCUGUUGGUUCAGUCCGCCCCGCCAUGA